rnacentral:rRNA from 1 species
UGGGGAAUCUUGCACAAUGGGGGCAACCCUGAUGCAGCGACGCCGCGUGAGCGAUGAAGCCCUUCGGGGCGUAAAGCUCUUUCGACCGGAACGAUAAUGACGGUACCGGGAGAAGAAGCUGCGGCUAACUACGUGCCAGCAGCCGCGGUAAUACGUAGGCAGCAAGCGUUGUUCGGAGUUACUGGGCGUAAAGAGUGCGUAGGCGGUUUUCUAAGUUCGGUGUGAAAUCUCCCGGCUUAACUGGGAGGGUGCGCCGAAGACUGGGAAGCUGGAGUGUGGGAAAGGCAGGCGGAAUUCCUGGUGUAGCGGUGAAAUGCGUAGAUAUCAGGAGGAACACCGGUGCCGAAGGCGGCCUUCUGGACGGCUACUGACGCUGAGACGCGAAAGCGUGGGGAGCAAACA